UCUACGGGAGGCAGCAGUGGGGAAUUUUGGACAAUGGGGGCAACCCUGAUCCAGCAAUGCCGCGUGAGUGAAGAAGGCCUUCGGGUUGUAAAGCUCUUUUGUCAGGGAAGAAACGGUUUUGGCUAAUAUCCAGAACUAAUGACGGUACCUGAAGAAUAAGCACCGGCUAACUACGUGCCAGCAGCCGCGGUAAUACGUAGGGUGCAAGCGUUAAUCGGAAUUACUGGGCGUAAAGCGUGCGCAGGCGGUUGUGUAAGACAGAUGUGAAAUCCCCGGGCUCAACCUGGGAAUUGCAUUUGUGACUGCACGGCUAGAGUGUGUCAGAGGGGGGUAGAAUUCCACGUGUAGCAGUGAAAUGCGUAGAUAUGUGGAGGAAUACCGAUGGCGAAGGCAGCCCCCUGGGAUAACACUGACGCUCAUGCACGAAAGCGUGGGGAGCAAACAGGAUUAGAUACCCUGGUAGUCCACGCCCUAAACGAUGUCUACUAGUUGUCGGGUCUUAAUUGACUUGGUAACGCAGCUAACGCGUGAAGUAGACCGCCUGGGGAGUACGGUCGCAAGAUUAAAACUCAAAGGAAUUGACGGA
rnacentral:rRNA from 1 species